rnacentral:rRNA from 1 species
UGGGCGCAAGCCUGAUCCAGCCAUGCCGCGUGAGUGAUGAAGGCCCUAGGGUUGUAAAGCUCUUUCACCGGUGAAGAUAAUGACGGUAACCGGAGAAGAAGCCCCGGCUAACUUCGUGCCAGCAGCCGCGGUAAUACGAAGGGGGCUAGCGUUGUUCGGAAUUACUGGGCGUAAAGCGCACGUAGGCGGAUUGUUAAGUGA